rnacentral:rRNA from 1 species
AGAGUUUGAUCAUGGCUCAGAACGUACGCUGGCGGCACGCCUAACACAUGCAAGUCGAACGCAGUAGCAAUACUGAGUGGCAGACGGGUGAGUAUAAUGUGGGAAUCUGCCUUUUGGUUUGGAAUAACAUGGGGAAACCUGUGCUAAUACCGAAUAAGCCCUUACGGGGAAAGUUUUAACGCCGAAAGAUGAGCCUGCACUUGAUUAGCUAGUUGGUAAGGUAAAAGCUUACCAAGGCAAUGAUCAAUAGCUGUUCUUAGAGGAAGACCAGCCACAUUGGGACUGAGACACGGCCCAGACUCCUACGGGAGGCAGCAGUGGGGAAUCUUGCACAAUGGGGGAAACCCUGAUGCAGCGAUGCCGCGUGAGUGAAGAAGGCCUUUGGGUUGUAAAACUCUUUCGUCGGGGAAGAAAAUGACU